UUCAUCCAAAUACAUUUUUGACAAUCACUUAGUUUGUGACCUCAUCGGCGUAGAGAAAUUGCUCAUUUGACUUGUUUGUAGCAAUAUCCAAAUAACAAAGACUUUCAUGAUAAUAAUAUUGACAGUCUUGUAGGAUAAUACGAUAUGACAGUAUUUCCACACGAAAACAUACAUCUCUUUUGAAAUCAAACUUGGUAUAAGCCAAAUGAUUUCCUGCAGUUUCAUAACCAAUAAACUUUGACAAGAUUGGUUAGAAUAAAUAAAUUUAUAAAUCAACUAGUAAAAUAACCCGC
rnacentral:lncRNA from 1 species